AUUGAACGCUGGCGGCAUGCCUUACACAUGCAAGUCGAACGGCAGCAUAGGAGCUUGCUCCUGAUGGCGAGUGGCGAACGGGUGAGUAAUAUAUCGGAACGUGCCCUAGAGUGGGGGAUAACUAGUCGAAAGACUAGCUAAUACCGCAUACGAUCUACGGAUGAAAGUGGGGGAUCGCAAGACCUCAUGCUCCUGGAGCGGCCGAUAUCUGAUUAGCUAGUUGGUGGGGUAAAAGCUCACCAAGGCGACCAUCAGUAGCUGGUCUGAGAGGACGACCAGCCACACUGGGACUGAGACACGGCCCAGACUCCUACGGGAGGCAGCAGUGGGGAAUUUUGGACAAUGGGGGCAACCCUGAUCCGGCAAUGCCGCGUGAGUGAGAAGGCCUUCGGGUUGUAAAGCUCUUUUGUCAGGGAAGAAACGCUUCUGGAUAAUACCUGGGACUAAUGACGGUACCUGAAGAAUAAGCACCGGCUAACUACGUGCCAGCCGCCGCCGUAA
rnacentral:rRNA from 1 species